rnacentral:rRNA from 1 species
CCUACGGGUGGCAGCAGUGGGGAAUAUUGCACAAUGGGCGAACGCCUGAUGCAGCAACGCCGCGUGAAGGAAGACGGUUUUCGGAUUGUAAACUUCUAUCAAUAGGGAAGAAAGAAAUGACGGUACCUAAAUAAGAAGCCCCGGCUAACUACGUGCCAGCAGCCGCGGUAAUACGUAGGGGGCAAGCGUUAUCCGGAUUUAGUGGGUUUAAAGGGUGCGUAGGCGGAUCGUUAAGUCAGUGGUCAAAUUGAGGGGCUCAACCCCUUCCCGCCAUUGAAACUGGCGCUCUUGAGUGGAAGAGAAGUAUGCGGAAUGCGUGGUGUAGCGGUGAAAUGCAUAGAUAUCACGCAGAACCCCGAUUGCGAAGGCAGCAUGCCGGCUUCCGACUGACGCUGAAGCACGAAAGCGUGGGGAUCGAACAGGAUUAGAUACCCCAGUAGUC